UNGGUAACUCUUGAUGGCUUGGUGACCUGU
rnacentral:piRNA from 1 species